UUAAGCGACUAAGCGUACACGGUGGAUGCCCUGGCAGUCAGAGGCGAUGAAGGACGUGCUAAUCUGCGAAAAGCGCCGGCGAGGUGAUAUGAACCCUUGACCCGGCGAUGUCCGAAUGGGGAAACCCAGUGCAAUUCGUUGCACUAUCGUUAACUGAAUACAUAGGUUAACGAGGCGAACCGGGGGAACUGAAACAUCUAAGUACCCCGAGGAAAAGAAAUCAACCGAGAUUCCCCCAGUAGCGGCGAGCGAACGGGGAGCAGCCCGGAGUCUGAAUCAGCUUGUGUGUUAGUGGAACGGUCUGGAAAGUCCGACGGUACAGGGUGAUAGUCCCGUACACGAAAGCACACAUGCUGUGAACUCGAAGAGUAGGGCGGGACACGUGGUAUCCUGUCUGAAUAUGGGGGGACCAUCCUCCAAGGCUAAAUACUCCUGACUGACCGAUAGUGAACCAGUACCGUGAGGGAAAGGCGAAAAGAACCCCGGCGAGGGGAGUGAAAAAGAACCUGAAACCGUGUACGUACAAGCAGUGGGAGCCUCUUUAUGGGGUGACUGCGUACCUUUUGUAUAAUGGGUCAGCGACUUAUAUUCUGUAGCAAGGUUAACCGUAUAGGGGAGCCGAAGGGAAACCGAGUCUUAACUGGGCGUUAAGUUGCAGGGUAUAGACCCGAAACCCGGUGAUCUAGCCAUGGGCAGGUUGAAGGUUGGGUAACACUAACUGGAGGACCGAACCGACUAAUGUUGAAAAAUUAGCGGAUGACCUGUGGCUGGGGGUGAAAGGCCAAUCAAACCGGGAGAUAGCUGGUUCUCCCCGAAAGCUAUUUAGGUAGCGCCUCGUGAAUUCAUCUUCGGGGGUAGAGCACUGUUUCGGCUAGGGGGCCAUCCCGGCUUACCAACCCGAUGCAAACUACGAAUACCGAAGAAUGUUAUCACGGGAGACACACGGCGGGUGCUAACGUCCGUCGUGAAGAGGGAAACAACCCAGACCGCCAGCUAAGGUCCCAAAGUCAUGGUUAAGUGGGAAACGAUGUGGGAAGGCACAGACAGCCAGGAUGUUGGCUUAGAAGCAGCCAUCAUUUAAAGAAAGCGUAAUAGCUCACUGGUCGAGUCGGCCUGCGCGGAAGAUGUAACGGGGCUAAACCAUGCACCGAAGCUGCGGCAGCGACGCUUAUGCGUUGUUGGGUAGGGGAGCGUUCUGUAAGCCGUUGAAGGUGUCCUGUGAGGGGUGCUGGAGGUAUCAGAAGUGCGAAUGCUGACAUAAGUAACGAUAAAGCGGGUGAAAAGCCCGCUCGCCGGAAGACCAAGGGUUCCUGUCCAACGUUAAUCGGGGCAGGGUGAGUCGACCCCUAAGGCGAGGCCGAAAGGCGUAGUCGAUGGGAAACAGGUUAAUAUUCCUGUACUUGGUGUUACUGCGAAGGGGGGACGGAGAAGGCUAUGUCAGCCGGGCGACGGUUGUCCCGGUUUAAGCAUGUAGGCGGAGGUUCCAGGUAAAUCCGGUACCUUAUUAACGCUGAGGUGUGAUGACGAGGCACUACGGUGCUGAAGUGAUAAAUGCCCUGCUUCCAGGAAAAGCCUCUAAGCAUCAGGUAACACGAAAUCGUACCCCAAACCGACACAGGUGGUCAGGUAGAGAAUACCAAGGCGCUUGAGAGAACUCGGGUGAAGGAACUAGGCAAAAUGGUGCCGUAACUUCGGGAGAAGGCACGCUGAUAUGUAGGUGAAGUCCCUGCGGACGGAGCUGAAAUCAGUCGAAGAUACCAGCUGGCUGCAACUGUUUAUUAAAAACACAGCACUGUGCAAACACGAAAGUGGACGUAUACGGUGUGACGCCUGCCCGGUGCCGGAAGGUUAAUUGAUGGGGUUAGCGGCAACGCGAAGCUCUUGAUCGAAGCCCCGGUAAACGGCGGCCGUAACUAUAACGGUCCUAAGGUAGCGAAAUUCCUUGUCGGGUAAGUUCCGACCUGCACGAAUGGCGUAAUGAUGGCCAGGCUGUCUCCACCCGAGACUCAGUGAAAUUGAACUCGCUGUGAAGAUGCAGUGUACCCGCGGCAAGACGGAAAGACCCCGUGAACCUUUACUAUAGCUUGACACUGAACACUGGUCCUUGAUGUGUAGGAUAGGUGGGAGGCUUUGAAGCGUGGACGCCAGUCUGCGUGGAGCCAACCUUGAAAUACCACCCUUUAAUGGCUGGUGUUCUAACGUAGACCCGUAAUCCGGGUUGCGGACAGUGUCUGGUGGGUAGUUUGACUGGGGCGGUCUCCUCCCAAAGAGUAACGGAGGAGCACGAAGGUUGGCUAAUCCUGGUCGGACAUCAGGAGGUUAGUGCAAUGGCAUAAGCCAGCUUGACUGCGAGCGUGACGGCGCGAGCAGGUGCGAAAGCAGGUCAUAGUGAUCCGGUGGUUCUGAAUGGAAGGGCCAUCGCUCAACGGAUAAAAGGUACUCCGGGGAUAACAGGCUGAUACCGCCCAAGAGUUCAUAUCGACGGCGGUGUUUGGCACCUCGAUGUCGGCUCAUCACAUCCUGGGGCUGAAGUAGGUCCCAAGGGUAUGGCUGUUCGCCAUUUAAAGUGGUACGCGAGCUGGGUUUAGAACGUCGUGAGACAGUUCGGUCCCUAUCUGCCGUGGGCGCUGGAGAAUUGAGGGGGGCUGCUCCUAGUACGAGAGGACCGGAGUGGACGCAUCACUGGUGUUCGGGUUGUCAUGCCAAUGGCACUGCCCGGUAGCUAAAUGCGGAAGAGAUAAGUGCUGAAAGCAUCUAAGCACGAAACUUGCCCCGAGAUGAGUUCUCCCUGAGACCUUGAGUCUCCUGAAGGAACGUUGAAGACGACGACGUUGAUAGGUCGGGUGUGUAAGCGCAGCGAUGCGUUGAGCUAACCGAUACUAAUGAACCGUGAGGCUUAACCUU
rnacentral:rRNA from 2 species